UUGUUUAUUCUCCCUUCGCGUACGUACCGAAUUCGACGAUCCACGUCUCCGCGCAUUGCACUUGUCGUGCGAGACGCCAUUUUCCAAAACAAACCGGCGAAAUAGCUCCGUUGACAGCUCUCCGCGCAAUUUCGACGGAAAAUCGCAGCGAUCGGUGCGACGGUGCGACUGUGCGACCAACCGGUUGGUCGCAGCCGAAAAUCGGGGGGUCGGCACUGCGACUGCGAUUUUCAUCCCAAACGACGGAAAUCGCACUUCCGGUGCGACGAAAAUCGCAUCAUGUGAAACAGGCUAUAAUCAGCUUCGCAUGAAGUGGCAGCAGCCCUGGCACGCUAUCAACGGCGCCGCGUUCCCGCCUUUCCGCGUCGUCUGCGUUUUUUAUAGCGCGAACCGGCGCGCACUGCUUGCUCAGAUUUCGUGCGUUUCGUGUGUGCGGUCAGACGUCAUCGCUGUCUCCCUGGCUGCAUCCCGUCGACAUUAUGCCCGCAGUCUCUACUCGUACGAGGCUUUUACUGUUGCUGAAACAGAUACUCUUGCUCAUGAUAAUGAAGAGGAGACGAGACCAACGACGGUGCAGGCAGCGGCGACGCUGGUGGGUGCGACCUGUGUUUUUGGCCCGAAAGCAAGAAGGACUUUACCACACAGCUAUGUGCCGCAUGCGACAAGGAGAUCACGGAUUUUUCUGCAAGUACUACAGAAUGACGCCGCAGCUUUUCGAUAAGCUGUUAAACUUUGUGGCUGCGGACCUGACCCGACAGCAGUUAAUCAGGGAGCCCUUGGAGCCUGGAGAGUGACUGGCGAUGACAUUGAGUUACCUGGCAUCAGGGCAGGAGAUAUGCCAAGUAGCGCUGUUAUAUCGUGUAGGUCUUGAAACUGCCAGGCAAUGCAUACACGGCACAUGUCGAGCAAUAUGGGCAUGCCUCAAGGAUCAUUUCAUGCAAACACCAAUCCAAGAGGAGUGGGAGAAGAUUGCUGAAGGAUUUUCAGCUCGAUGGCAAUUCCAUAAUUGCUUGGGGGCUGUCGAUGGAAAACAUGUAGCAAUCACAUGCCCAACAAAUUCUGGGAGUAAUUACUUCAACUACA